UGACAUUUUCCCAUCAUUUUUGUUUUAAAAAAAUUUGUGCAAUCCGGAUCCUAUCUAUUCUGUUAACCGGUGCAAUGAAAAAGCCUACUGCAUAUUAUUAGUGAGAGUUAUCUCCCGUAGUCCGUCCACUUAUCGAUCGAUCGGCCUUCUGCGAGAUAUUAAUGCUCAAUUAUUGACCAAUUUUUCUGUCGUUGCUAUUGAUUUAAACAACUGUUAAUAUAGAUCCAAAGAAGCAACUUUUUUCAGUUAAUACCGUAAAGUCUUGUUAUGAAUUGCAAUUGGAUAAUUAGAUUAUAGUUCACCCAAUUUUUUUCAGGCCGUGAUUCAGGAUACUGCGGGAGUAAGACUGCCGAUAUCGUUUGUUAUCCCCGUUGCAUGGCUACACGUAAAUCGGAUGUUUGAAAGAUUAUCAAUAACGACGAUUUAAUUCAAGGAUUUCCAUCAACCACCCUCCGCCGGAUUAGACAAGUUUUGUUGUGUAUUCGCAAAAUAAUCGACAUAAAAGGGUUUUGCGUUCUUUCGCCGCGUGUUUAAACUGGCCCCUUACGUCGAAGCUAGUAUGAUUGUAUUACGACUUUGACAUCUGUUUUUUUUUAUAUAAUCUAUUAUAACAUAUAAAAUAUACAGCAUGACUAUUUAAACAAAAAUAAAGCAGUGUACAUUUGUUCAUUAAUAGUUUUGAUGUUUACGUUGUUUAUAAUCAUUGCAAAACAUGCAGGAUGAAUAAACUCAAUCAUUCGGAGGAUGAAACCCAACGGUUUCCUUUUUUAAACAUUCCAAUGAUGUAUUUUGGGGGGUUUUUGUAUGCCCCAAAUUUAUUUUUAUUUACUUUGAAUAUUUCUAACGUUGAAAGGAGAGCACUUCCGUUUAAAUACGUCUAUAAAUUUGUAAGAUUAUUCAUUAGGUUUGCAAGG